rnacentral:tRNA from 1 species
GUUUUAUUAGUAUAAAAAUUAUAGUUAACUUCCAAUUAAAAGAUUUAUGAAAUAAAUAAAACU